GACGAACGCUGGCGGCGUGCCUAACACAUGCAAGUCGAACGGGGUAGAGAGCUUCGAUUUUCUACUUAGUGGCGAACGGGUGAGUAACGCGUGAGAAACCUACCUUUCAGUGGGGGACAACAGUUGGAAACGACUGCUAAUACCGCAUGAUGUAUCGGAGGGGCAUCCUUCUGAUACCAAAGCUUUAUGUGCUGAAAGAUGGUCUCGCGUCUGAUUAGCUAGUUGGCGGGGUAACGGCCCACCAAGGCGACGAUCAGUAGCCGGUCUGAGAGGAUGAACGGCCACAUUGGGACUGAGAUACGGCCCAG
rnacentral:rRNA from 1 species